ACCACGGGCUAUAACACCUUGAAUGUAUCAGUUCCCAAUUGAUCAUGAAGUUAAGCAACGGUGCACAUGAUUAGUAUCUGGAUGGGUGACCAUCUGGGCAAUCGCGGGCUGCUGGCU
rfam:Asian citrus Psyllid, Diaphorina citri - Florida Strain, whole genome shotgun sequence.